GACGAACGCUGGCGGCGUGCUUAACACAUGCAAGUCGAACGGUAAGGCCCUUCGGGGUACACGAGUGGCGAACGGGUGAGUAACACGUGGGUGAUCUACCCCGCACUUCGGGAUAAGCCUGGGAAACUGGGUCUAAUACCGGAUAGGACCACUGCCUGCAUGGGUGGUGGUGGAAAGCUUUUGCGGUGUGGGAUGGGCCCGCGGCCUAUCAGCUUGUUGGUGGGGUGAUGGCCUACCAAGGCGACGACGGGUAGCCGGCCUGAGAGGGUGAGGGGCCACACUGGGACUGAGAUACGGCCCAGACUCCUACGGGAGGCAGCAGUGGGGAAUAUUGCACAAUGGGCGCAAGCCUGAUGCAGCGACGCCGCGUGAGGGAUGACGGCCUUCGGGUUGUAAACCUCUUUCAGCACCGACGAAGCGCAAGUGACGGUAGGUGCAGAAGAAGGACCGGCCAACUACGUGCCAGCCGCCGCUGUAA
rnacentral:rRNA from 1 species